rnacentral:rRNA from 1 species
CCUACGGGGGGCUGCAGUGGGGAAUAUUGGACAAUGGGGGGAACCCUGAUCCAGCCAUGCCGCGUGUGUGAAGAAGGCCCUCGGGUUGUAAAGCACUUUCAGUGAGGAAGAACGCCUGGUGGUUAAUACCCAUCAGGAAAGACAUCACUCACAGAAGAAGCACCGGCUAACUCCGUGCCAGCAGCCGCGGUAAUACGGAGGGUGCGAGCGUUAAUCGGAAUUACUGGGCGUAAAGCGCGCGUAGGUGGCUUGAUAAGCCGGUUGUGAAAGCCCCGGGCUCAACCUGGGAACGGCAUCCGGAACUGUCAAGCUAGAGUGCAGGAGUGGAAGGUAGAAUUCCCGGUGUAGCGGUGAAAUGCGUAGAGAUCGGGAGGAAUACCAGUGGCGAAGGCGGCCUUCUGGACUGACACUGACACUGAGGUGCGAAAGCGUGGGUAGCAAACAGGAUUAGAUACCCGAGUAGUC